GGGAACGUGCCCUUUGGUACGGAAUAACUCAGGGAAACUUGAGCUAAUACCGUAUGUGCCCUUCGGGGGAAAGAUUUAUCGCCAUUGGAGCGGCCCGCGUCUGAUUAGCUAGUUGGUGAGGUAAAGGCUCACCAAGGCGACGAUCAGUAGCUGGUCUGAGAGGAUGAUCAGCCACAUUGGGACUGAGACACGGCCCAAACUCCUACGGGAGGCAGCAGUGGGGAAUCUUGCGCAAUGGGCGAAAGCCUGACGCAGCCAUGCCGCGUGAAUGAUGAAGGUCUUAGGAUUGUAAAAUUCUUUCACCGGGGACGAUAAUGACGGUACCCGGAGAAGAAGCCCCGGCUAACUUCGUGCCAGCAGCCGCGGUAAUACGAAGGGGGCUAGCGUUGCUCGGAAUUACUGGGCGUAAAGGGAGCGUAGGCGGGCAUUUAAGUCAGGGGUGAAAUCCCGGGGCUCAACCUCGGAAUUGCCUUUGAUACUGGGUGUCUUGAGUAUGAGAGAGGUGUGUGGAACUCCGAGU
rnacentral:rRNA from 1 species